ACCGCCCCUCGACCGUUUAUAGCUCCAAAGAACUGCAGCAACUGCGGCAAGGGGUGGCGAUUUACUAAAUUCUUUUUGUUCCUGUUCGGGUUUUUCUAUAAAGGGAUGUCUGUACAGCUGGGGCCCAUGGCCGAAACAUCUGAAAUUCUCUACUAGGUUCCUCAGACUCACUGAGAGGCUCUACGUUGGUGCUGGGCUCCAGUCUUGAGGCAUCCUUGGGGAAACUACAGUCCCAGCCAUCAACUUCUACCUGCUCCCCUUCACCUGUGACAGUAAGAAGAGAGGGUCAGACUGUACGCAAGAAGACUGAGGAGGAACAGGUAGAAAAAUGAGUGAUGAUCAAGAUCUCAUUCCAGAGCAUCUGAAAGGUCCAAGAAGAGGUCAAGAUCACAGCCAUGAACAUCAAAGCUGUUUAUAGAAGAGCCAAAAGGAUGGACCACACAACCUAGGUACCAAAGAACAAAGGUCAAAAGAUAUUAGGGAACUGGCAAGAUGGCUCAGGUACUUGCCACCAAGUCUGAUAACCGGAGUUCAAUCCCCAGAACCCAUAUGGUGGAGGAAAAGAGCCAACUCCUGAAAGUUACUCUCUGACCUCCAUAAGCAUGUGUGUUACUUAUGUGCACAUAUAAUAAAGAGGGGUAAAAAGACA